rnacentral:sRNA from 1 species
GCCUUUUUAAACCAUUCAUGGGCUUGCAACUUCUGUGGAAUUGUCAUGGCAUGAAAUCUUGAGCUUUUCGUCCUCGCCAUAGUGGAUGAAGACCGGAACGAAACCACAAAUACUGUACUAGGACCCAUUUGACUUCUCAUUAACUCAAGUUUUGCACGAUUUUCUAGUGCUUUUAUAGCGAUCAUGUUGAUUUCAUUUACCUGUGCCAUGAUGUAUGGAGAAACGUAGUAAUGAGUACACCGGCGAUUGAAGGAAACCGCCUUUCUUUAAUUCUACUAUAGCCAGGACCACAUCUUAAACAAUAAUAGUCAU